rnacentral:sRNA from 1 species
UUUUUGCGUUAACGAUAGCAGCGAUAUCCUUUUAUUUUGCUUUUUAGCAAUUAAAAGAUUUAGCGGAUAGCGUGUCAAAAC